GUUAUACUCCCUCCGUCUAGAAAUACUUGUCAUCAAAAUGGAUGAUGUAUCUAAAUGUAUUUUAGUUCUAUAUACAUUCAUUUUCAUCCAUUUUGAUGACAAGUAAUUCGGGACGGAGGGAGUAUAAC
rfam:Triticum aestivum genome assembly, contig: Triticum_aestivum_CS42_TGACv1_scaffold_423452_5BS